ACAAACCAUUGAMAKUUUUGCUCUUCAACGAGGAAUCCCUAGUAAGCGCAAGUCAUCAGCUUGCGUUGAUUACGUCCCUGCCCUUUGUACACACCGCCCGUCGCUACUACCGAUUGAAUGGCUCAGUGAGGCUUUCGGACUGGCCCAGAGAGGUGGGCAACUACCACUCAGGGCCGGAAAGUUAUCCAAACUCGGUCAUUUAGAGGAAGUAAAAGUCGUAACAAGGUCUCCGUUGGGGAACCAGCGGAGGGAUCAUUA
rnacentral:ncRNA from 1 species